rnacentral:rRNA from 1 species
CCCUUAGAUGUUCUGGGCCGCACACGCGCUACACUGAAGGAGGCAGCGUGUACUCCUGGAUCGAAAGAUUUGGGUAACCCGCGAAUCUCCUUCGUGCUAGGGAUUGAGGUUUGCAAUUAUCCUUCAUGAACGAGGAAUUCCCAGUAAGUGCAAGUCAUAAGCUUGCGCUGACUACGUCCCUGCCCUUUGUACACACCGCCCGUCGCUACUACCGACUGAAUGAUUUAGUGAGGACUUCGGACUGGGACCGAUGCGGCUUUCGGGCUGCGUCGGUAUUCUGGAAAGAUGUCCAAACUGUAUCAUUUAGAGGAAGUAAAAGUCGUAACA